UGGGGAAUAUUGCGCAAUGGGGGAAACCCUGACGCAGCGACGCCGCGUGUGGGAUGAAGGUCUUCGGAUUGUAAACCACUGUCGCGAGGGACGAAGCUCUGACGGUACCUCGAAAGGAAGCACCGGCUAACUCUGUGCCAGCAGCCGCGGUAAUACAGAGGGUGCGAGCGUUGUCCGGAAUCACUGGGCGUAAAGGGCGCGUAGGCGGCCCGGUAAGUAGGGGGUGAAACGCUGCGGCUCAACCGCAGCACUGCCUUCGAGACUGCUGGGCUUGAGCACGGUAGAGGCUGGUGGAAUUCCCGGUGUAGCGGUGGAAUGCGUAGAGAUCGGGAAGAACAUCGGUGGCGAAGGCGGCCAGCUGGGCCGUUGCUGACGCUGAGGCGCGACAGCGUGGGGAGCAAACAGGAUUAGAUACCCCCGUAGUCCCUGAGCGGGCUGGCAAGGCGCAU
rnacentral:rRNA from 1 species